rnacentral:rRNA from 1 species
CGUAAGGGACAGGUGCGCAAAGCACAGGAAGGAUGGGUCAAGGACAGGUCAGUGAUGCCCUUAGAUGGUCCGGGCUGCACGCGCACUACAGUGGUCGCCGAAAUUACCUGAUAAUUUUAAAGGCGAUCGAGAGGGAAUGAGCUUUGUAAGAGGCUCAGGAACGAGGAAUUGCUAGUAAUCGCGGACUCAUUAAGACGCGAUGAAUACGUCCCUGUUCUUUGUACACACCGCCCGUCGUUAUCGAAGAUGAAGACAGGCGCGAACGAUCUUACCAGAAAGUGAGCGCAGGUCUUUAGAUCUGAUACAAGUCGUAACAAGGUAGCUGUAGGAGAACCUGUAGCUGG